rnacentral:tRNA from 1 species
GUCGGGAUAGCUCAGUUGGUAGAGCAGAGGACUGAAAUCCUCGUGCCCCCGUUUCCAAUAA